CGCUAUCACUCCUACGGGAGCAGCAGUGGGAAUUUGGACAAUGGGGGCAACCCUGAUCCAGCCAUGCCGCGUGAGUGAAGAAGGCCUUCGGGUUGUAAAGCUCUUUCGGCGGGGAAGAAAUGGCAACGGCUAAUAUCCGUUGUUGAUGACGGUACCCGCAUAAGAAGCACCGGCUAACUACGUGCCAGCAGCCGCGGUAAUACGUAGGGUGCGAGCGUUAAUCGGAAUUACUGGGCGUAAAGCGUGCGCAGGCGGUUUCGUAAGACAGACGUGAAAUCCCCGGGCUCAACCUGGGAACUGCGUUUGUGACUGCGAGGCUAGAGUACGGCAGAGGGGGGUAGGAAUUCCACGUGUAGCAGUGAAAAUGCGUAGAGAUGUGGAGGAAUACCGAUGGCGAAGGCAGCCCCCUGGGUUAGUACUGACGCUCAUGCACGAAAGCGUGGGGAGCAAACAGGAUUAGAUACCCUGGUAG
rnacentral:rRNA from 1 species